GUGGGGAAUAUUGGACAAUGGGCGCAAGCCUGAUCCAGCCAUGCCGCGUGAGUGAUGAAGGCCUUAGGGUUGUAAAGCUCUUUCAGUGGGGACGAUAAUGACGGUACCCACAGAAGAAGCCCCGGCUAACUUCGUGCCAGCAGCCGCGGUAAUACUAAGGGGGCUAGCGUUGUUCGGAUUUACUGGGCGUAAAGCGCACGUAGGCGGAUCGUUAAGUCGGGGGUGAAAUCCUGGAGCUCAACUCCAGAACUGCCUUCGAUACUUGCGAUCUUGAGUCCGGAAGAGGUGAGUGUAACUCCUAGUGUAGAGGUGGAAUUCGUAGAUAUUAGGAAGAACACCAGGAGCUACGGCGGCUCACUGGUCCGGUACUGACGCUUAGGGUCGAAAGCGUGGAGAGCAAACAGGAUUAGAAACCCUUGUAGACC
rnacentral:rRNA from 1 species